rnacentral:lncRNA from 1 species
CAAUAUACAAUCCAAUUCUAGUUUUAUUAUAUUUUUUAUAAUACGUAGUAACUUCAACUUGUUACAAUUUUUUGUAUAUUAUCUUUUUUAUAAUUUUUGUGAAAUGAAAAAGAUAAAGAAAAAUUGUGUAAAUUUGUUUCUUAUAAUUUCAGUUGAUAUAUGGGAAUUAAUAUCUAAAAAAUUGGGAGGUUAACAUAUGGAGGAAUAUUGUUAUUAAUGUUGUUGUAAAAAUUUGGUAGAUAUUGGUCGAUACACUUUUAAAUGGUGAAUCAUGAACUUAGGUUUGUUAGGAUAUGUGGUUAGCUUUUUUUUUUUUUUUUUUCCGUCAAGAUUUUUAUAUAGAUUAAUGAUACCGGGCCAAGCCCAAAUUACAAAAUCCGAAGCCCAAACACUUAAACAAAAGGCACGAAGCCCAAAAGCCAAACCAGCUACAGUCUAACCGCUAUAAACGGACCGCGGCCCAAACCAAUCAAGCCCAAACCGACGUCGGCUGGAUCAAACGCGUCAAGGAGACUGGCUGCUGAACACGUGGAAGCAUCUGUGCCAUCGGAUCGACACGCGUCGCACACCGUCUCUACCUGACCGUCUCCGCCUCGGGACGCCGUCGGAGCUAUCUAACCGUGCUUCGUUUCGCCGGAUCUCAUACCCCGCAACAAAACACCUUCCUUCCCGGUGGUCCUCCACCGAAAGCGUCAUCGGACAAACCGCGCUCUCAUCCGGACCACCCACUCUUCUCA